rnacentral:rRNA from 1 species
AACGAACGCUGGCGGCAGGCUUAACACAUGCAAGUCGAACGCCCCGCAAGGGGAGUGGCAGACGGGUGAGUGACGCGUGGGAACGUGCCCUUCGCUUCGGAAUAGCCCCGGGAAACUGGGAGUAAUACCGGAUACGCCGUAUUGGGAAAGAUUUAUCGGCGAAGGAUCGGCCCGCGUUGGAUUAGCUAGUUGGAGGUGUAAUGGACCCCCAAGGCUACGAUCCAUAGCUGGUCUGAGAGGAUGAUCAGCCACACUGGGACUGAGACACGGCCCAGACUCCUACGGGAGGCAGCAGUGGGGAAUCUUGGACAAUGGGCGCAAGCCUGAUCCAGCCAUGCCGCGUGAGUGAAGAAGGCCUUAGGGUUGUAAAACUCUUUCGCCGGAGAAGAUAAUGACGGUAUCCGGAGAAGAAGCCCCGGCUAACUUCGUGCCAGCCGCCGCAGUAAGAC